UUACAACACCAGUUCCCAUGGGAUUAGUGAAGUUAAGCACCAUUGAACCUGGUCAGUACCUAGAUGGGUGACCACUUGGGAAUACU